rnacentral:rRNA from 1 species
AGUGAACGCUGGCGGUAGGCCUAACACAUGCCAGUCGAACGGCAGCACAGUAAGAGCUUGCUCUUACGGGUGGCGAGUGGCGGACGAGUGAGGAAUACAUCGGAAUCUACUUUUUCGUGGGGGAUAACGUAGGGAAACUUACGCUAAUACCGCAUACGACCUACGGGUGAAAGCAGGGGAUCUUCGGACCUUGCUCGAUUGAAUGAGCCGAUGUCGGAUUAGCUAGUUGGCGGGGUAAAGGCCCACCAAGGCGACGAUCCGUAGCUGGUCUGAGAGGAUGAUCAGCCACACUGGAACUGAGACACGGUCCAGACUCCUAUGGGAGGCAGCAGUGGGGAAUAUUGGACAAUGGGCGCAAGCCUGAUCCAGCCAUACCGCGUGGGUGAAGAAGGCCUUCGGGUUGUAAAGCCCUUUUGUUGGGAAAGAAAAGCAGCAGGUUAAUACCCCGCUGUUCUGACGGUACCCAAAGAAUAAGCACCGGCUAACUUCGUG